rnacentral:rRNA from 1 species
GACGGAGGAGGCUAGCGUUGUUCGGAAUUACUGGGCGUAAAGCGUGCGUAGGCGGCCCUGUUAGUCGGAGGUGAAAUCCCGGAGCUCAACUCCGGAACUGCCUCCGAGACGGCCGGGCUUGAGUGAAGGAGAGGAGAGCGGAAUUCCCAGUGUAGAGGUGAAAUUCGUAGAUAUUGGGAAGAACACCGGUGGCGAAGGCGGCUCUCUGGCCUUUUUCUGACGCUGAGGCACGAAAGCGUGGGGAGCAAACAGG